ACCCUUUUACAUUUUAUUUCAUACCAAACACACCCCUUUACCCCUCUCUCCCCUCUCCUCUCCAUUAAACCUAACCCUAGCGCCGCCUUUUCCCCCCUUUCCCUCUCUCCUCGCUGGAUUGCCAAAAAUGGCAUCAAUUCAGAGAGGUUAGACGUGUAUCAGCCUUAACACAACCAAAUCAGUGCAACAUUUAAAGUUUCGUGGUCGUUUUCUUCCAAUUUCUACUAAACAACACCUACGAUGGCUUAACAGGCAAUUCUUUUGAGUCAUGGUCGAGCCCAGCGAAGAAAUGGAAGCUAAUAUAUAUAUUAAACGCGUGGAAGGCCCAGCCAUGGGUGAAAAUAUCUCUACCAGUGAAGCCCACUAGCAUAUAAUCGAAUGCCUUAAUUGGAUAACUUAUAUAUAUAUAUGUGUGUGUGUGUGUGUGUGUGCGCGCGCGCGCGCGCGCGAGUUAUACACGUGAUAAGUUCAGUAAAUAUAAACUAACCGGGGUCCUUUGUUUCUUUUCUCCUCCACCACUGCAUGGCCAUUUGGGCCGAGUCACGUUCCAACCUGUUGGGUCAAGGCUUAACAGGCAAUUCUUUUGAGUCAUGGUCGAGCCCAGCGAAGAAAUGGAAGCUAAUAUAUAUAUUAAACGCGUGGAAGGCCCAGCCAUGGGUGAAAAUGGUCAACUAGGGGCUUGGUACACCCCUAGCCUACCCUUAACUCUAUUUAUUUGCUUAAGUUAUACUUUUCCUUUAGUUGUAAAGUUGUUGUAUUUAUACUUCUAAAAAUCUGUAAAAAAAACUCAUAUAUUGUUGGAAUUUUACGGUUUGAACUAGUCA